CCUACGGGGAGGCAGCAGUGGGGAAUCUUGCGCAAUGGGCGAAAGCCUGACGCAGCCAUGCCGCGUGAAUGAUGAAGGUCUUAGGAUUGUAAAAUUCUUUCACCGGGGACGAUAAUGACGGUACCCGGAGAAGAAGCCCCGGCUAACUUCGUGCCAGCAGCCGCGGUAAUACGAAGGGGGCUAGCGUUGCUCGGAAUUACUGGGCGUAAAGGGAGCGUAGGCGGAUAGUUUAGUCAGAGGUGAAAGCCCAGGGCUCAACCUUGGAAUUGCCCUUGAUACUGGCUAUCUUGAGUACGGAAGAGGUAUGUGGAACUCCGAGUGUAGAGGUGAAAUUCGUAGAUAUUCGGAAGAACACCAGUGGCGAAGGCGACAUACUGGUCCGUUACUGACGCUGAGGCUCGAAAGCGUGGGGAGCAAACAGGAUUAGAUACCCUGGUAGUCCACGCUGUAAACGAUGAGUGCUAGUUGUCGGCAUGCAUGCAUGUCGGUGACGCAGCUACGCAUAAGACACUCCGCCGUCGGGGAGGUACGGUCGGCGAAGAAUUAAACUAACAAAGAAGUAGUACGCGNGAGAGAGCGACGACGACGACGACGGAGGAGGAGG
rnacentral:rRNA from 1 species